AGUGAACGCUGGCGGUAGGCCUAACACAUGCAAGUCGAACGGCAGCACAGUAAGAGCUUGCUCUUACGGGUGGCGAGUGGCGGACGGGUGAGGAAUACAUCGGAAUCUACUUUUUCGUGGGGGAUAACGUAGGGAAACUUACGCUAAUACCGCAUACGACCUACGGGUGAAAGCAGGGGAUCUUCGGACCUUGCGCGAUUGAAUGAGCCGAUGUCGGAUUAGCUAGUUGGCGGGGUAAAGGCCCACCAAGGCGACGAUCCGUAGCUGGUCUGAGAGGAUGAUCAGCCACCCUGGAACGGAGACACGGUCCAGACUCCUACGGGAGGCAGCAGUGGGGAAUAUUGGACAAUGGGCGCAAGCCUGAUCCAGCCAUACCGCGUGGGUGAAGAAGGCCUUCGGGUUGUAAAGCCCUUUUGUUGGGAAAGAAAAGCAGCAGGUUAAUACCCCGCUGUUCUGACGGUACCCAAAGAAUAAGCACCGGCUAACGUCGUG
rnacentral:rRNA from 1 species